CAGCCGCCGCGGUAAUACAGAGGGUGCGAGCGUUAAUCGGAUUUACUGGGCGUAAAGCGUGCGUAGGCGGCUUCUUAAGUCGGAUGUGAAAUCCCUGAGCUUAACCUGGGAACUGCAUUUGUGACUGGCGAGCUAGAGUAUGUCAGAGGGGGGUAGAAUUCCACGUGUAGCAGUGAAAUGCGUAGAGAUGUGGAGGAAUACCGAUGGCGAAGGCAGCCCCCUGGGCCAAUACUGACGCUCAUGCACGAAAGCGUGGGGAGCAAACAGGAUUAGAUACCCCGGUAGUCCCUGUCUCUUAUAC
rnacentral:rRNA from 1 species